rnacentral:rRNA from 1 species
GACGAACGCUGGCGGCGUGCUUAACACAUGCAAGUCGAACGAUGAAGAAAAGAAUUGAAGCUUCGGCAGAAAUUCAUUUCGGAUUAGUGGCAGACGGGUGAGUAACGCGUGAGCAACCUACCUCUUACAAAGGGAUAGCCUCGGGAAACCGGGAUUAAUACCAUCUAACAUUGCGACGAAGCAUUUCGAUGCAAUCAAAGCUACGGCGGUAAGAGAUGGGCUCGCGUCCCAUUAACCAGAUGGUGAGGUAACGGCUCACCAUAGUAACGAUGGGUAACCGGCCGGAUAAGGUGAACGGUCAGACUGGAACUGAGACACGGUCCAGACUCCUACGGAAGGCAGCAGUAGAGAAUAUUGCACAAUGAAGGGAACUCUGAUGCAGCGACGCCGCGUGAGUGAUGAAGGAAUUCGUAUCGUAAAACUCUGUUCUAUGGGAAGAAAAGGACUGUACCAGAGGAGAAAGCUCCGGCUAAAUACGUG